rnacentral:rRNA from 1 species
UACAGAGGUGCCAAGCGUUAGGCGGAAUCACUGGGCUUAAAGCGCGUGUAGGCGGGUCGUUAAGUGUCUUGUGAAAUCCCACGGCUCAACCGUGGAACUGCUGGGCAUACUGACGAUCUUGAGGCACUCAGGGGCUGUCGGAACAAAUGGUGGAGCGGUGAAAUGCGUAGAUAUCAUUUGGAACGCCAACGGUGAAACAGACAGCUGGGGGUGUCCUGACGCUGAGACGCGAAAGCCAGGGGAGCGAACGGG